rnacentral:rRNA from 1 species
UACGUAGGGUGCGAGCGUUGUCCGGAAUCAUUGGGCGUAAAGAGCGCGUAGGCGGCCCUGUAAGUCCGCUGUGAAAGUCAAGGGCUCAACCCUUGGAUGCCGGUGGAUACUGCAGGGCUAGAGUCCGGAAGAGGCGAGUGGAAUUCCUGGUGUAGCGGUGAAAUGCAUAGAUACCAUCCAGAACCCCGAUUGCGAAGGCAGCUGCCUAGACUGUAACUGACGCUGAGGCACGAAAGCGUGGGGAGCGAACAGG